rnacentral:sRNA from 1 species
AAAAAAAUCAAAAAAAA